rnacentral:rRNA from 1 species
UUCGCCCUUAGAGUUUGAUCCUGGCUCAGGAUGAACGCUGGCGGCGUGCAUAACACAUUCAAGUCGAACGGACUUUAUUGAAUUAAUCCUUCGGGAAGCGUUUAGUAAAGUUAGUGGCGGACGGGUGAGUAACGCGUGAGCAACCUACCUGCUAAAGAGGGAUAACACUUGGAAACGGGUGCUAAUACCACAUAAAGCAUAUUAAUCGCAUGAUAGAUAUGUCAAAGCUGAGGCGAUAGCAGAUGGGCUCGCGUAUGAUUAGGCAGUUGGUGAGGUAACGGCUCACCAAACCUACGAUCAUUAGCCGAACUGAGAGGUUGAACGGCCACAUUGGAACUGAGAAACGGUCCAGACUCCUACGGGAGGCAGCAGUGGGGAAUAUUGGGCAAUGGGCGAAAGCCUGACCCAGCGACGCCGCGUGAGGGAAGAAGGUCUUCGGAUUGUAAACCUCUUUCAGCAGGGAAGAAGAAAGUGACGGUACCUGCAGAAGAAGUCACGGCUAACUACGUGCCAGCAGCCGCGGUAAUACGUAGGUGGCGAGCGUUAUCCGGAAUUACUGGGUGUAAAGGGUGUGUAGGCGGGAAAGCAAGUCAGGCGUGAAAUGCAUAGGCUCAACCUGUGAAUUGCGCUUGAAACUGUUUUUCUUGAGUGUGGGAGAGGUAAACGGAAUUCCUGGUGUAGUAGUGAAAUGCGUAGAUAUCAGGAGGAACACCGGUGGCGAAGGCGGUUUACUGGACCACAACUGACGCUGAGACACGAAAGCGUGGGGAGCAAACAGGAUUAGAUACCCUGGUAGUCCACGCUGUAAACGAUGAAUACUAGGUGUGGGGGGCAACAGUUCUCCGUGCCGCAGUUAACACAAUAAGUAUUCCACCUGGGGAGUACGGCCGCAAGGUUGAAACUCAAAGGAAUUGACGGGAGCCCGCACAAGCAGUGGAGUAUGUGGUUUAAUUCGACGCAACGCGAAGAACCUUACCAGAGUUUGACAUCCACGGAAUCCUGAGUAAUGUUAGGAGUGCCCUUCGGGGAGCCGUGAGACAGAUGGUGCAUGGUUGUCGUCAGCUCGUGUCGUGAGAUGUUGGGUUAAGUCCCGCAACGAGCGCAACCCUUAUGGUUAGUUGCUACGCAAGAGCACUCUGGCCAGACUGCCGUUGACAAAACGGAGGAAGGUGGGGACGACGUCAAAUCAUCAUGCCUCUUACAUUCUGGGCUACACACGUACUACAAUGGUAGCUACAGAGGGAAGCCACCUGGUGACAGGGAGCAGAUCUCGAAAAGCUAUCUCAGUUCGGAUUGGAGUCUGCAACUCGACUCCAUGAAGCUGGAUUCGCUAGUAAUCGCGCAUCAGCCAUGGCGCGGUGAAUACGAACCCGGGUCUUGUACUCACCGCCCGUCA